AUCUGCCAUGUGAGGACACAGUGAGAAGGCAGCCCUCUGCAAGCCAGGAAGAGAGCCUUCACCAAAAGCCAGCCAUGCUGGUACCUGCAUCUUGGACUUCCAGCCUUCCAAACUGAGAGAACUAAAUAUUUGCUGUUUAUGCCCCGUCCGUGGAUCCCGAGCUGACUGAGACAGUGGGUGAGUCCCCACGUGCUUGGAACCAUUCAUCUAGAUGGGGAGUCGUGGGCCAGAGAUGGAAUUCAAAGCCAAGCGAAGGAGCGAGAGCAAGGGCAGCUGGAUGGAUUUGAUGAACACCCAACAGGAGGGAAGACCCAGUGCUGCCAGCUCCUUCUGUGAGUCCCAAGGCCUCAGAGUCAAGGCCCUUCCCAAGCCCCCAGCACCUUGAACCUCUUUCAACAGCCGACCUGCCAGAUUCAGCCCUGCAGAACCAGAAGCGGUUUCCCAAAUGCACUGCUGCUGCUGGGAACAUUGUCCUUUACCACCUUGACAACGCUCUACCUGUCACAGCUGUGUUUCUCAUCCUCGCAGAAACCUGUCCUUGCCAUCCAGCUUCUGGAGGCGCCUGCAUUCCUUGCUUCAUGGUUCCACCUUCCAUCUUCAAAGCCAGCAGUGUAGUAUCUUCAAACCUCAAUCUCGGGACUUCCCUGGUGGCGCAGUGGUUAGGAAUCCGCCUGCCA